GCGGAGGAAAAGAAACCAACAGGGAUUGCCCUAGUAACGGCGAGUGAAGCGGCAACAGCUCAAAUUUGAAAUCUGGCUCUUUUAGAGUCCGAGUUGUAAUUUGCAGAGGGCGCUUUGGCUUUGGCAGCGGUCCAAGUUCCUUGGAACAGGACGUCACAGAGGGUGAGAAUCCCGUACGUGGUCGCUGGCUAUUGCCGUGUAAAGCCCCUUCGACGAGUCGAGUUGUUUGGGAAUGCAGCUCUAAAUGGGAGGUACAUUUCUUCUAAAGCUAAAUAUUGGCCAGAGACCGAUAGCGCACAAGUAGAGUGAUCGAAAGAUGAAAAGCACUUUGGAAAGAGAGUCAAACAGCACGUGAAAUUGUUGAAAGGGAAGCGCUUGCAGCCAGACUUGCUUGCAGUUGCUCAUCCGGGCUUUUGCCCGGUGCACUCUUCUGUAGGCAGGCCAGCAUCAGUUUGGGCGGUGGGAUAAAGGUCUCUGUCACGUACCUCUCUUCGGGGAGGCCUUAUAGGGGAGACGACAUACCACCAGCCUGGACUGAGGUCCGCGCAUCUGCUAGGAUGCUGGCGUAAUGGCUGUAAGCGGCCCGUCUUGAAACACGGACCAAGGAGUCUAACAUCUAUGCGAGUGUUUGGGUGUCAAGCCCGAGCGCGUAAUGAAAGUGAACGGAGGUGGGAACCCGCAAGGGUGCACCAUCGACCGAUCCUGAUGUCUUCGGAAGGAUUUGAGUAAGAGCAUGGCUGUUGGGACCCGAAAGAUGGUGAACUAUGCUUGAAUAGGGUGAAGCCAGAGGAAACUCUGGUGGAGGCUCGCAGCGGUUCUGACGUGCAAAUCGAUCGUCAAAUUUGGGCAUAGGGGCGAAAGACUAAUC
rnacentral:sRNA from 1 species